GUCGCUUUAGCCAAGUGGUUAAGGCGUGUGCUUGCUAAGUGCAUGAGGUUCCCCCGGAAGAGUUUGAACCUCUCAAGUGACG
rnacentral:tRNA from 1 species